GAUGGAUAGGGGUUCUGAGAGGAAGGUCCCCCACAUUGGAACUGAGACACGGUCCAAACUCCUACGGGAGGCAGCAGUGAGGAAUAUUGGUCAAUGGACGAGAGUCUGAACCAGCCAAGUAGCGUGAAGGAUGACUGCCCUAUGGGUUGUAAACUUCUUUUAUAUGGGAAUAAAACGUUCCACGUGUGGGAUUUUGUAUGUACCAUAUGAAUAAGGAUCGGCUAACUCCGUGCCAGCAGCCGCGGUAAUACGGAGGAUCCGAGCGUUAUCCGGAUUUAUUGGGUUUAAAGGGAGCGUAGGUGGAUUGUUAAGUCAGUUGUGAAAGUUUGCGGCUCAACCGUAAAAUUGCAGUUGAAACUGGCAGUCUUGAGUACAGUAGAGGUGGGCGGAAUUCGUGGUGUAGCGGUGAAAUGCUUAGAUAUCACGAAGAACUCCGAUUGCGAAGGCAGUUCACUGGACUGCAACUGACACUGAGGCUCGAAAGUGUGGGUAUCAAACAGGAUUAGAUACCCUGGUAGUCCACACAGUAAACGAUGAAUACUCGCUGUUUGCGAUAUACAGCAAGCGGC
rnacentral:rRNA from 1 species